GUCUCCUAAAAUUUGAAUUCAAAAGGAUUUGUGAAUCAAUCACGGAUCUGAAAAUACGAAUAGACUUGGGGUUUUGCCUUUUUGAUCAAAACAAGUUGAGAUCAAUCCACAACCAAAAACUGUGUAAACCAGAGGUUCUUAGUGAUCUAAGGACUUAAUCAAACCUAGAGAGAAACCCCAAAACAACCCCCAAGUCAAGAACUUGAAGGUUCUUCACAACCACAAAGAGAGGGAAAGGAAGAACACAAAAACAAAAAUGACUCAAUUUCAGCGGAGACAACUGAGAAAACGAAUUGAACUGGCCCUAUGGAUGGAUCCGGCCACCCUUCCUUUAAGUAGAGCAGUGAAGAUUACAAACACAGACGCAAGUUCAAAACAUAUGUGAAUCUCGAUAGAGGGAAACUAGAUUUUCUAAGCGGAAGCCUAAAACAAAUAGCCAAAGAGAUGGUUGUCCACAAUAGCCCACCCAUCUGUUUAUAGAAGGUUAUUUCAAUUUCCUAAACUAUCCCGAAAUACAUUGAUCCUAGCCACUUAGCCGGGACGAAAUGGACAAAAUCCUGGGAUUUUGAUCUGACGGCCAUGCACUAUACAUGAAGUUGUUUCGCCUUGACACACCCUUCGUGAUGACGCCACGUGCCGUCUCUGAUUCCCGCCAGAAUUGCCACUGAGUUUUGAGGCCAAACUCGGUCGAAACCCGUCGUCUGUAGCGCUGGGUGGUUUUUCGAGGAUCAACCACCAAACCACAGCGAGUAGCGCACCGUGUGUGUGCGUCCCCCACGUCCUAGACAUGUGUCUCCCCAGUCCUCGACAAUGCUGGCAACAAGGCCCGCUCCGCCACGUCCUCACGUGAGUGCAUGUCCCAGGUGUCAGCCACCACGGCUAGUUACCCGAUGACACUGGUCCCUCGGUCAAGUCACAGCACUCGUCAUUCACCACUCCCGAUCCAUCACCAUGAAUCUGCAUGACCUUCACUUUCACCGUCGACCACUGUACCUGUGCUCCACACCUGCACACCACAAGCAGCCGAGAGACAUGGUGGCACACAUAUAACUCACGCCUCAGUUAGUCCACGACUCAACCCAAGACGCUACCCGUUGACAAUCACUCAUCAUCAACCCGAACCAUAAGAGACAAAUUAACCUUAUUUCGCAAUACAUCUUUAACAUGUACGUUUAGUUUUUUUUCUUUAGUCGUGUGUCUAUCACUUAGCCAUAUAUAGGCUAAGAGUUUUGUUCCGUAGUCGUGUAUUAACUUGAUGUACUGCUCUAGGAUGCAUUAAAAUCUUCUUUUUCAAAGAAAAAAAUCUUUCAAUUUCUAGGAACCCAAACAACAAUGCCUUAUAUAAAGAGAGAGAGAUAGGGAGCCAUUUUGAGAUAUUCUUCUACUAGCAAAAAAUCUGCACUGCUGGUCAAUAGUUUUGCACACAUGAAUCUGCUGAAACUACAAAGUCAUCAUUCGGUAUGCCAAAAUAUUGCUCCUUCGCAUCACCUUCCAAAUUCACAGUAAACUGACUCAGGCACAAGACACCACCACUAGGGGUAGACAAGAAUUGAUCGCAACCGGUCAUUUCAAAUUCAUGAGAUAACGCUGCAACCCACCAUAUAUUGCCUGUUGUGCCAAUUUACAGGACUAUAGCAACAAGGAAUUAAUGCGUCAAAAAGUACUUGGCUCAAACAGUUUUGCACCUUCUAUAAAUUGGAUGCCACACAAACGAAUGUGCGUAUCGAACCAACCGAAGAUCAUUGCUGGCAAGGAGAGCUACGUAACCGGUUCAUCAGGCUCACCCAAGAUCAGCAAUGAAGAUUCUUGUGUGUGCUAUUCUCAUGCUUGUCCUCAUCGGCAAUUGCACUGCAGAGAUGCCCCCGAUAAUGGCUGCAGAAAAGAGCCGUGACCAGCUGGUCGCAGGACGAGCAAAGCCAUGUGUAACGUUGAAGGAGGAACAUGGUACUAAUAACAAAAACAGUCCAGGACCAGGAGAGCAUGAGCCUCGCCCUACUUAAACCAUGUGUAUAUUGACCUAAUUUCCCAGAAAACUUAAACCGUCUACGUACUACCCGUCUUAGAGACGAUGACGGUAUAUAUGCGUGUGUAAUCUAUCUAUCUAUCUACAUACAUAUAUAAAUAAAAAUGGAUGCGGCUGUCAAAAAGGGGUGGCACAAUAUGUACCUCAUCUCGCCUCCAAACUUCCAGGUCACAACUCACCAAGAAUAUGAAUUACAUAGAAAAAAAUUAUUAUCA